GUGCCAGCAGCCGCGGUAAUACGUAGGUGGCGAGCGUUGUCCGGAUUUACUGGGCGUAAAGAGCCCGCAGGCGGCCUGUUAAGUUCAAGGUGAAAUCUCCCGGCUCAACUGGGAGGGUGCCUCGAAAACUGGCAGGCUUGAGGCAUGGAGAGGGAUGCAGAAUUCCUGGUGUAGCGGUGAAAUGCGUAGAUAUCAGGAGGAAUACCAGUGGCGAAGGCGGCAUCCUGGCCAUGUCCUGACGCUCAGGGGCGAAAGCGUGGGGAGCAAACCGGAUUAGAAACCCUGGUAGUCC
rnacentral:rRNA from 1 species